AGUUUGCAUAUCAGGGAUUAUCACAAAGUAGAUAUAUGUGGCCAUUUUAUUUUGGACAUGAGAGCUCUAGCUGAUAUUGUCCUUUUUUCUUCUGUAUAAUAAAUUGUGGAAUACCUGCUUACUCUCCAAGGAAGGAAUCAAGGAACAUAAACUUUUAGUACUCCCUCCGUAAACUAAUAUAAGAGUGUUUAGAUCACUACUUUAGUUAUCUAAACCCUCUUAUAUUAGUUCACAGAGGGAGUACUUGAUAGCAACGUGCAUUUUAUUUGCAUGUUUACUUGAUACAUUCAGUCUCAUGCGGCUUGGUCGAGAUUAUGUGGUGUAACUACAAACAUUCGUCCUAUGUGCUUUCUACAAGUCUGGACAUAACUACUUCACAUCUUCCAAUUAUGCCUUCUCUAGGAGAACAUGGUAGCCCUCCCAGUAUAUCUUAAUUUUUUAGCUGACAAUGUAUAGAUAGUCUUAAUAUCACUUUAAUUGCAGUGUAAUCCUCAAUGUAAGUUAUGUAACACAGUUUCAUUUUUCUAAUGACUUCAGCUGGAAAAUAAAUUACCAAGCUCAAAACCGGGGGAAAUCACUUUAGUACCAAAUAGGAAAACAGAUGAUGGAACUGCUUCUCAAGUCAAAGAUAUCCUAAGGCCACGACACAUAGUUUGUUGAAACAACAAUAGAUUGACUGGAUACUCUCUCGCUUGAGCGAAGAUACCCUUGUGUAAGUGUUAAGUAUGGGGGCCUGCCUGAGGAGAUGGCACUCCGGAGCUCCGCCAGAUCAGGCUGAAGAACUUGGCGCACACGGUCAUGGGGUUACCCUCCAGAAGACACUGCAGGAGAGGAGAGGCCCGUGGGACACGAACUGUCUAUCUGACGAACAGAUUUACCAUGUCUACUUGCAGGUCAACUAAGCUGUUAAUCGGCCACUACUACUACUAGCUAUGCAAUUAAUUGUUAGCCUCAUGAUCCUGACAAUAGUUCUUUCUCCAUGAUUCUUUGCGUGAUUAUUAUUUCACCAA